CCUACGGGAGGCAGCAGUAGGGAAUCUUCCACAAUGGGCGAAAGCCUGAUGGAGCAACGCCGCGUGGGUGAAGAAGGUCUUCGGAUCGUAAAACCCUGUUGUUAGAGAAGAAAGUGCGUGAGAGUAACUGUUCACGUUUCGACGGUAUCUAACCAGAACGCCACGGCUAACUACGUGCCAGCAGCCGCGGUAAUACGUAGGUGGCAAGCGUUAUCCGGAUUUAUUGGGCGUAAAGGGAACGCAGGCGGUCUUUUAAGUCUGAUGUGAAAGCCUUCGGCUUAACCGGAGUAGUGCAUUGGAAACUGGGAGACUUGAGUGCAGAAGAGGAGAGUGGAACUCCAUGUGUAGCGGUGAAAUGCUUAGAUAUAAGGAAGAACACCAGUGGCGAAAGCGGCUCUCUGGUCUGUAACUGACGCUGAGGUUCGAAAGCGUGGGUAGCAAACAGGAUUAGAUACCCGAGUAGUC
rnacentral:rRNA from 1 species